UCUAUUCACGAUUUCGGCACGAAAAUUGGUUUGGUAAACCUCUCCAUUAAAAGGAUCUGGAAGGUCAUUUAUACUUACUGAGGAUUCGUCCCUUCCGAUUUUCUUUGUUUUUUCACUAGUGCAACAUGAGUGUAUACCACAAGCCAUCCUAGGAAUGGAUGUUAUCUGUCAAGCAAAGUGAGGGAUGGGGAAAACUGUGGUGUUUGUUCUUUCUACUCUGCAGCAGAUUGAACCCGUUGCUGGACAAGUUGCCACUCAUGUCCUUUGUCAUACAAGGGAAUUGGCUUACAAGAUCUACCAUGAGUUUGAGAGCUUCAAUACCUAUUUGCCUGAUAUUAAAGUUGUUGUCUUUUCUGGUGGUGUCAAUAUCAAGGUUCACAAGGAUUUACUAAAGAAUGAAUGCCCUCAAAUUGUUGUUGGAACACCUGGUAGAAUCUUGGGUCUUGCAAGAGAUAAGGACCUUGGCUUGAACAAUGUGAGGCAUUUUAUUCUUGAUGAGUGUGACAAGAUGCUCGAAUCACUGGGUAAGCUUCUGCAUGUUGGUAGUCUGUCCAGAAGGUUUCACAAUUUUGGCCCGUAUUGUUUCUCUACUUUUGUGUGGCUUCUAACUUUUUUAGCAACCAAAAUGAUUUGAAUUUCUCAUAUUGUCUACAAACAUGAGGAAGGAUGUGUAGGAAAUUUGUAAGAUGACCCUUCAUGAUAAACAAGUUAUGAUGUUCUCAGCUACACUUAGCAAGGAGAUUAGCCAGUUUGCAAGAAGUUCAUGCAAGAUGAUCAUCAGUGUUCUUCAGUGGUUUAUGAAAUUUUGCGUACCAUACAUGCGGGGCCAUUAUUCAUCUACAGUGCAAUAGAUUAAGGAUUUCUAAGGAAUAUCAGUCCUGAUAGAAUUCAUGAAUGUGUGAGACGUGAUAUGUAAGAUGGUAUGUAUAUACGGCUGUUUCUAGUAUUUUUUUUCUUUAAAAAUUUCUGGCAUAACAAAUACACUAUCGUCAUCAUCUUUCUAACAAACAUCAAAGAAGGUUUUGUCGAUUCAUUUGGGACACUCUCAGGGCAUUGAGCCAAUUUCUCUUGUAUAAGAAUGUCCCAGAGAUUGGUUUCACUUCCUUUUGCAUCAGCCAUCUUUUACUGUUGUAGUUGUCCUAUUUCUGUAAGCUAAAUAAUUGAACUACGAGGAUGUAGCAUCAUUCAUGCUAUAUGUUUUUAAACCUAUUAAACCAAACAUGUACCUUCUGGUUCUGAUACUGGGAACCGAUCACUUCUUAAUUGUAUUGUUGGACACCAGUCACUAAUAUUACCCUUUGUAUACCAUUGCGGACAGUAACAAUGUACGUGACAUAAAAUUCCUUCUUCCCCCAC